rnacentral:rRNA from 1 species
UAUGGUGUGUGCCAGCAGCCGCGGUACAACGUAGGUCACAAGCGUUGUCCGGAAUUACUGGGUGUAAAGGGAGCGCAGGCGGGAAGACAAGUUGGAAGUGAAAUCCAUGGGCUCAACCCAUGAACUGCUUUCAAAACUGUUUUUCUUGAGUAGUGCAGAGGUAGGCGGAAUUCCCGGUGUAGCGGUGGAAUGCGUAGAUAUCGGGAGGAACACCAGUGGCGAAGGCGGCCUACUGGGCACCAACUGACGCUGAGGCUCGAAAGUGUGGGUAGCAAACAGG